GUGGGGAAUAUUGCACAAUGGGCGAAAGCCUGAUGCAGCGACGCCGCGUGAGGGAUGACGGCCUUCGGGUUGUAAACCUCUUUCAGUAGGGAAGAAGCGAAAGUGACGGUACCUGCAGAAGAAGCACCGGCUAACUACGUGCCAGCAGCCGCGGUAAUACGUAGGGUGCGAGCGUUAUCCGGAAUUAUUGGGCGUAAAGAGCUCGUAGGCGGUUUGUCGCGUCUGUCGUGAAAGUCCGGGGCUUAACCCCGGAUCUGCGGUGGGUACGGGCAGACUAGAGUGCAGUAGGGGAGACUGGAAUUCCUGGUGUAGCGGUGGAAUGCGCAGAUAUCAGGAGGAACACCGAUGGCGAAGGCAGGUCUCUGGGCUGUAACUGACGCUGAGGAGCGAAAGCAUGGGGAGCGA
rnacentral:rRNA from 1 species